ACAGGGAUUGCCUCAGUAACGGCGAGUGAAGCGGCAAAAGCUCAGAUUUGAAAUCUGGCGUCUUCGGCGUCCGAGUUGUAAUCUGUAGAGGAUGCCUUUGGGUGGCCACCGGUCUAAGUCCCCUGGAACGGGGUGUCACAGAGGGUGAGAAUCCCGUAUGUGACCGGGAAGGCGCCCUAUACAUGGCUCCUUCGACGAGUCGAGUUGUUUGGGAAUGCAGCUCUAAAUGGGAGGUAAAUUCCUUCUAAAGCUAAAUACCGGCCAGAGACCGAUAGCGCACAAGUAGAGUGAUCGAAAGAUGAAAAGCACUUUGGAAAGAGAGUUAAAAAGCACGUGAAAUUGUUGAAAGGGAAGCGCUUGCAACCAGACUUGUUGGCGGUGUUCCGCCGGUCUUCUGACCGGUCUACUCACCGUCUGCAGGCCAGCAUCAUCUGGGGCCGCUGGAUAAAAGCGGAGGGAAUGUGGCUCCUCCGGGAGUGUUAUAGCCCUCUGUGUAAUACAGCGAGUCCCGGGUGAGGUCCGCGCUUCGGCUAGGAUGCUGGCGUAAUGGUCGUAAGCGGCCCGUCUUGAAACACGGACCAAGGAGUCUAACAUCUAUGCGAGUGUUCGGGUGUCAAACCCCUACGCGUAAUGAAAGUGAACGGAGGUGGGAACCUUUUAGGUGCACCAUCGACCGAUCCUGAUGUCUUCGGAUGGAUUUGAGUAAGAGCAUAGCUGUUGGGACCCGAAAGAUGGUGAACUAUGCCUGGAUAGGGUGAAGCCAGAGGAAACUCUGGUGGAGGCUCGCAGCGGUUCUGACGUGCAAAUCGAUCGUCAAAUUUGGGUAUAGGGGCGAAAG
rnacentral:rRNA from 1 species